GAGCGCCGUAGCAAUACGGAGCGGCAAACGGGAGAGUAACACGUGGGAACGUGCCCUUCAGUUCGGAACAACCCAGGGAAACUUGGGCUAAUACCGGAUACGUCCGUAAGGAGAAAGAUUUAUCGCUGAAGGAUCGGCCCGCGUCUGAUUAGCUUGUUGGUGAGGUAACGGCUCACCAAGGCGACGAUCAGUAGCUGGUCUGAGAGGAUGAUCAGCCUCACUGGGACUGAGACACGGCCCAGACUCCUACGGGAGGCAGCAGUGGGGAAUAUUGGACAAUGGGCGCAAGCCUGAUCCAGCCAUGCCGCGUGGAUGAUGAAGGCCCUAGGGUUGUAAAGUCCUUUCGGCGGGGAAGAUAAUGACGGUACCCGCAGAAGAAGCCCCGGCUAACUUCGUG
rnacentral:rRNA from 1 species